AGGUCAUUUCAAAGAGAGCUUAUGGGACCAAAACCAGGAGCUCUUAAUUCUGUGACCUAAGAUUGAAGUUCUCUAUAGGAUGUAAUAGACACUCAAUAGUGCUAUGUUUUCUUAUGGAGAUAUAAAG